CGGCAGCACGAUAAGUAGCAAUACUUAUUGGUGGCGAGCGGCGGACGGGUGAGGAACACGUAGGAACCUGUCGUUUAGAGGGGGAUAACCAAGGGAAACUUUGGCUAAUACCGCGUAAUCUCGAGAGAGGAAAGCUGCCCGCAAGGGUGGCGCUAAAUGAGGGGCCUGCGUCCGAUUAGCUAGUUGGUAAGGUAAAGGCUUACCAAGGCAAUGAUCGGUAACUGGUCUGAGAGGACGACCAGUCACACUGGGACUGAAACACGGCCCAGACUCCUACGGGAGGCAGCAGUGGGGAAUAUUGGACAAUGGGGGCAACCCUGAUCCAGCGAUGCCGCGUGGGUGAAGGAGGCCUUCGGGUUGUAAAGCCCUUUAGAUUGGGAAGAAGUGUAUCUGGUGAACACCCAGGUAUAUUGACGGUACCGAUAGAAUAAGCACCGGCAAACUCUGUGCCAGCAGCCGCGGUAAUACAGAGGGUGCGAGCGUUAAUCGGAGUUACUGGGCGUAAAGGGCGCGUAGGCGGUAUGAUGUGUGUGAUGUGAAAGCCCCGGGCUUAACCUGGGAAGUGCAUCGCAAACUAUCAAACUAGAGUAUAUGAGAGGGUGGCGGAAUUUCCGGUGUAGCGGUGAAAUGCGUAGAGAUCGGAAGGAACGUCAAUGGCGAAGGCAGCCACCUGGCAUAAUACUGACGCUGAGGCGCGAAA
rnacentral:rRNA from 1 species